AGAACACCUGAAGAGAAUGAAUCCCA
rnacentral:piRNA from 1 species